UUUCAUUAAUCAAGAACGAAAGUUAGGGGAUCGAAGACGAUCAGAUACCGUCGUAGUCUUAACCAUAAACGAUGCCGACCAGCGAUUAGGAGACGUUGAAUACAAAACACCACCAUCGGCGCGGUCGUCCUUGGCGUCUCGGUUUCGGCCGGGGCGCGGGGAUGGCUUAGCCCGGUGGCACCGGUGAAUGACUCCCCUAGCAGCUUGUG
rnacentral:rRNA from 1 species